CUCCUACGGGAAGCAGCAGUGGGGAAUCUUGCGCAAUGGGCGAAAGCCUGACGCAGCAACGCCGCGUGGAGGACGAAGGCUUUCUGAGUUGUAAACUCCUUUCAGCAGGGACGAUAGUGACGGUACCUGCAGAAGAAGCACCGGCCAACUACGUGCCAGCAGCCGCGUAAUUC
rnacentral:rRNA from 1 species